GUUUAAUUUACCAUAUGCGGGAAGGCUGGUUAAACCGUUUGGUUUACGACCACUACGACCCGGGUUCGAUCCCCGCAUUGGACA